UACGUAGGCAGCGAGCGUUGUUCGGAGUUACUGGGCGUAAAGCGUGCGUAGGCGGUGGCCCAAGUCUGGUGUGAAAUCUCCCGGCUCAACCGGGAGGGUGCGCCGGAAACUGGGUCGCUCGAGUACUGGAGAGGCAAGCGGAAUUCCUGGUGUAGCGGUGAAAUGCGUAGAUAUCGAGAGGAACACCUGCGGCGAAGGCGGGUUGCUGGGCUGACACUGACGCUGAGGCGCGAAAGCUAGGGGAGCGAACGGG
rnacentral:rRNA from 1 species